GCCAUGCCGCGUGUGUGAAGAAGGCCUUUUGGUUGUAAAGCACUUUAAGCGAGGAGGAGGCUACUUAGAUUAAUACUCUUGGAUAGUGGACGUUACUCGCAGAAUAAGCACCGGCUAACUCUGUGCCAGCAGCCGCGGUAAUACAGAGGGUGCGAGCGUUAAUCGGAUUUACUGGGCGUAAAGCGUGCGUAGGCGGCUUUUUAAGUCGGAUGUGAAAUCCCUGAGCUUAACUUAGGAAUUGCAUUCGAUACUGGGAAGCUAGAGUAUGGGAGAGGAUGGUAGAAUUCCAGGUGUAGCGGUGAAAUGCGUAGAGAUCUGGAGGAAUACCGAUGGCGAAGGCAGCCAUCUGGCCUAAUACUGACGCUGAGGUACGAAAGCAUGGGGAGCAAACAGGAUUAGAUACCCUGGUAGUCCAUGCCGUAAACGAUGUCUACUAGCCGUUGGGGCCUUUGAGGCUUUAGUGGCGCAGCUAACGCGAUAAGUAGACCGCCUGGGGAGUACGGUCGCAAGACUAAAACUCAAAUGAAUUGACGGGGGCCCGCACAAGCGGUGGAGCAUGUGGUUUAAUUCGAUGCAACGCGAAGAACCUUACCUGGUCUUGACAUAGUAAGAACUUUCCAGAGAUGGAUUGGUGCCUUCGGGAACUUACAUACAGGUGCUGCAUGGCUGUCGUCAGCUCGUGUCGUGAGAUGUUGGGUUAAGUCCCGCAACGAGCGCAACCCUUUUCCUUAUUUGCCAGCGGGUUAAGCCGGGAACUUUAAGGAUACUGCCAGUGACAAACUGGAGGAAGGCGGGGACGACGUCAAGUCAUCAUGGCCCUUACGACCAGGGCUACACACGUGCUACAAUGGUCGGUACAAAGGGUUGCUACCUAGCGAUAGGAUGCUAAUCUCAAAAAGCCGAUCGUAGUCCGGAUUGGAGUCUGCAACUCGACUCCAUGAAGUCGGAAUCGCUAGUAAUCGCGGAUCAGAAUGCCGCGGUGAAUACGUUCCCGGGCCUUGUACACACCGCCCGUCACACCAUGGGAAUUUGUUGCACCAGAAGUAGGUAGUCUAACCGCAAGGAGGACGCUUACC
rnacentral:rRNA from 1 species